CACCGAGUGUUUUUUUUUUUUUUAUUGUCAGAAGAUCGUAUGACAUGAGCAACACAUACCAUGAUGUUCCACCAUCACUGCAACGAUGUCACAAGGCCUUGUCUCCUCUGAGUGUACUGUGAGGCCAGAAGAGGGCACUGGAUCCACAAGAACUGAAAUUACAGGCAGUUAUGAACUGCCCAACAUGGGAACUGGGACUCCAACUCAGGUCCUUUGGAAGAGCAACAAGCACACUUAAUCACUGAGCCAUCUCUCCAUCCUAGCUCUGAUGUUUAAGAGCCAUAAGUGCCUACUCUCCCUCCAAGUCAGAUGUCCCAGGUCAGGACAUCUCACCUUCCUUUACCUGGAAUUGAUGAGACCUCAUUUCCACUGUCUGAGAUAAGAGUUCCAUUACUGAGAACUUGCAUGGCAUAAACUUGACCCACGGACUGACUCAUCUUCCCAGCCUUUUACUAUCAGUUUUAUAUUAUCUUGCUCCAGACCUCCCCCCCCCAAAAAAAAAGGCCCUUGAAGGUCUCCAGUCAUUGUUUUAAACCUACAGCCACCUUGGAUGUCUCAUACAGCAGAGCCCUGCAGAAAGAUCACUCACCAAAGGAAGACAUUUAUCUGUGACAGUAAGACUGGUUCCUAAGGCAGGAAUAAUCACUGUAUUAUGAGAAUCUUUACAUUGCUUCCAUCAAGCAGUUAAGUACUUCUUUUUGUCUCCUCAGAAGACUUAAGUUUGAGACAAUGAUCCAGUAGAUAACCCAGACUUGAGCUGGCCUGCUUCCUAUACAUACCUCUUGCCUCCUGCCCUACAUAAACUUAAAGUUCAUGUCAGAGCCCCAAAGAGACUUGGUUCCUCUUCCCAAUAUGCCACUGGUUUCUCUGCUUUCCAUCACUGCUCAUCUCUUCUGUUGGUUUAUCGGGUCAAGUGGCCCAACACUGCCUGAUGGGGCUCCCAGAGAUGGGGUGUCUGCUCUAUAUUUAAACCCAGAAUUAUCUAAAAGGAAUUUUUCACUUUAA